GACCGCGUAGCUCAGUUGGCAGAGCAUUGGGCUAGUAUUCCAAAGCCCAAAGGUCGUAGGUUCGAUUCCCACCGUGGACA